UACGUAGGCAGCAAGCGUUGUUCGGAAUUACUUGGCGUAAAGAGUGUGUAGGCGGUGUUCUAAGUUUGUCGUGAAAUCUCCCGGCUUAACUGGGAGGGUGCGGCGAAAACUGGAAUGCUAGAGGAUGGGAGAGGUAAGCGGAAUUCCUGGUGUAGCGGCGAAAUGCGUAGAUAUCAGGAGGAACACCUGUGGUGUAGACAGCUUACUGGACCAUUUCUGACGCUGAGACACGAAAGCGUGGGUAGCAAACAGG
rnacentral:rRNA from 1 species